ensembl:lncRNA
AUGGGGGAGGAAAAAAACCUGAGAAGAAUCAGAGAGAGGGAAAAAAGCCGCCGAGGUGGGGCAGAAUUUGCACUCACCCCGCACUCCCCUUUCCAAAAAAAAAAAAAAAAAAAAAAAAGAGGGAAAAAAACGGAACAAAAAGCCCAAGUCUGGAGGAAAUCAAAGCUGCUCUGCCUGCGAGUGCCAGCCGAGGGCUGCGGCGGGGAGCAGCCCGGGGUCCCGCUCCGGCAUCCAGCGCUGCUCCGCUCCGCUGCGCGCCCGUCCCGAGCCCCGCCGGGAUCCCGCAGCUUCCCGCGGAGCCCAACACCUCGGGGACACUCCCGCACCUCCCGCAUCCUCCCGCCGUGUGCGCGGAGGCGGAGGGGCCGCGUUGCCCGCCCGCCCCGGGAGCCGCCGCAGCUCUCGUCAGGUGUUUUACUGCCCCUCGCUCAUCCAGAACAAACGUCGAGAAUUUCUGCUCAGGGUGCGCUUCAGAAUUCACCCCGAGGUCAGCCCUGAAUGGGCUGCACUUCAAGGCUUUUUCCUCUGUGGAAUUUUUCCUAGGAAGAAGAAGAAGAAAAACAUCUCAGCCACUCAAAGUUGGAGCAUCCUUCUCCUCUCUUCCCCCUUUUAGUGUCAAGUGAGAGAUUUACCCAUCUCCCACCUCAGUGAUGCUUGACAGCAAAAUAUCCUGCUCCAAAUAUCAUCCCCAAGCUCACGAGCAGCUCCAGGAUUCUGGGAUGAGCAUUCCCAGCUUUACCAGGAACCAUAUAAAUAAUAUUUGUACAGCUCCCAGGACAAACAAACACGGGCAGGAAGCAUUUACAAACCCGGGCUGUGUUAAUUGCUUCUGCAGAUGACUCCACCUGAAAAUAUUGGAGGGUUUUGAUGAAAACUCACAGAUCAUGGCGCAUAGACAAUGAGGCAAACAUUUCCUUCAUUUCCUCGCUGGAUUUUGAAAUUAAAAAGGAAAAGAGUCACAUCUGUGCUCAGGAGUCCAUUUCCAAGCUCCCCACCCAGCUGGGUUGGCUUCCAUGGCUGGGCAGUAUGGAUUGAGUAGCUCCUAAAUUUAGGAUUUGCUCCUAGAACCUCAACUGGUGCACCUCAUGGGGAAUUUAUGGCUUGGAAAUGAAGAAUUUAUGAGGAGAAAAUGGUGGGGGAGGAGAAUUAACUCAAUAUUUUCUUCUAGGCUCGCCCUCCAUCCUCAACUCUGCAAUGAGAUUUGGCUUGUAGGGAUGUUUUCCUCUGAAUUAUGGCAAAGCCUGUGGGGUAAGAGUUGUUUGACUUGCUGGGAGUAUUAUUUCUAUCAAAAGAGCCUCUCAGAGAAUAAAAUUCCAAAAUGGGGUUUAUGUGGCAAUAUCUUUACUGAUUAAAAAGAAGGAGUAAAAUAAAGUAAAGUAAUGACUUUCCACUGGUUUUAUUCCUAUUUAUUUGAUGUGCCAGGAAAUUUUCACUGUUUCAGUGGGAACUGGAGUUAUCUUCAGCCUCACUAUCAGUUUUACAUCUAUUAUUGUGAGUUAUUUUUCUCAAUUAGUGAAAAGCAAAUUAACAAAUGUAAACACACUUUCUUAUUUCUGGAUGCUGGUGUGGAAUUAACUUGGGGAAAUCUGGGAAAUGCUGCGCUCAAGAUUCUGUGAGAAAAAAAUUAAAAUUCAUAGUUUUGUGUUUUAUGAUUUAUGAAUCCAUUGUGUUUCAUUGUAAACUAGGGGGGAAUUUUCACUGGAAUCCUAGAAAUAAACUGGAAACAAGAUGGAAGGAGUCAAAGUGACUCUUUGGGCACUGUGGUCUUUAUUUUGGGUAAUAAAUUUGUGCAGACUGGAAGAAGGCAAUGAAGCAUAGCUUGGAAAUGUAUUCCCCAGGAAUGUAUAUUUUAAAUAAAUGUCAAUUCCUUUUAACAGAAUCCACAGCUGACUUUCUAAAUAUCUUUGUCAGUGUUCCCAUUAGGCUUUUUUUUCAGUAAUUUAAGUUCACCCUGAGAAUUUUCCCUAUAUUUUUGGUGGGAAUUAUCUAAAAUCUUGUCAAUACUGUAUUUGUUAUACACUGGGUUUCAUCCUGGGAUGUUUGAGGCUGUGAUUUUUGGACAAAUAAGAAAAGAUUCUGAUCCUGUCUCAAUCAAUGUGGAAUUCUCUGUUUUCUUGAAUCCUGACCCAGGACUUUGAAUGCGGAAUUUCAUGAGUAAAUAUUGGAUUGAAUUUGUUGAAUCCACGAAGUGGAUUUUUGCCACUGAAGGAUUUCAUUGAGGAGGGUGAUUUAAGGGCUUUGAAUACUGUUCUCACACUCGGUGUUAUGAAAUUCAUCUGUCCACGCUCCCAAAAUCCCUUCCAGCUGUUUCAAAAGAGCAUUUAUUAACAUCUGCA